rnacentral:tRNA from 1 species
GGGGCUAUAGCUCAGCCGGGAGAGCGCGACGUUCGCAAUGUCGAGGUCAGGAGUUCGAUCCUCCUUAGCUCCACAA